AGAGUUUGAUCAUGGCUCAGGACGAACGCUGGCGGCGCGCCUAACACAUGCAAGUCGAACGGAGCUUAGAGAGCUUGCUUUUUAAGCUUAGUGGCGAACGGGUGAGUAACGCGUGAGUAACCUGCCCUAGAGUGGGGACAACAGUUGGAAACGACUGCUAAUACCGCAUAAGCCCACGGUACCGCAUGGUACUGAGGGAAAAGGAUUUAUUCGCUUUAGGAUGGACUCGCGUCCAAUUAGCUAGUUGGUGAGGUAACGGCCACCAAGGCGACGAUUGGUAGCCGGACUGAGAGGUUGAACGGCCACAUUGGGACUGAGACACGGCCCAGACUCCUACGGAGGCA
rnacentral:rRNA from 1 species